AGUUCGAUCAUGGCUCAGAUUGAACGCUGGCGGGAUGCUUUCUUACACAUGCAAGUCGAACGGCAGCAAGAUUUCUGGUCUGUGCGACGAGUGGCGAACGGGUGAGUAAUGUAUCGGAACGCCUAGUAGCGGGGGAUAAAUUACGAAAGCGUAGCUAAUACCGCAUACGCCCUUCGGGGGGAAAGCGGGGACCUUCGGGCCUCGCACUAUUAGAGCGGCCGAUAUCGGAUUAGCUAGUUGGUGGGGUAACGGCUCACCAAGGCGACGAUCCGUAGCUGGUUUGAGAGGACGACCAGCCACACUGGGACUGAGACACGGCCCAGACUCUACGGGAGGCAGCAGGGAAUUUUGGACAAUGGGGGGAAACCCUGAUCCAGCCAUCCCCGUGCGUGUGCGCGAUGAAGGCCUUCGGGUUGUAAAGCACUUUUGGCAGGAAGAAACGGCACGUGAUAAAUACCCCGUGCAACUGACGGUACCUGCAGAAUAAGCACCGGCUAACUACGUGCCAGGCAGCCGCGGUAAUACGUAGGGUGCAAGCGUUAAUCGGAAUUACUGGGCGUAAAAGGCAAGCAGGCGGUUCGGAAAGAAAGAUGUGAAAUCCCAGAGCUUAACUUUGGAACUGCAUUUUUAACUACUACUGAGCUAGAGUGUGUCAGAGGGAGGUGGAAUUCCGCGUGUAGCAGUGAAAUGCGUAGAUGUAUGGCGGAGGAACACUGAUGGCGAAGGCAGCCUCCUGGGAUAACACUGACGCUCAUGCACGAAAGCGUGGGGAGCAAACAGGAUUAGAUAAUUCUGGUAGUCCACGCCCUAAACGAUGUCAACUAGCUGUUGGGGCCUUCGGGCUCUCGGUAGCGCAGUUAACGGGCAAAGAAGUUGACCGCCUGGGGAGUACGGUCGCAAGAUUAAAACUCAAAGGAAUUGACGGGACCCGCACAAGCGGGUGGAUGGGAUUAAUUCGAUGCAACGCGAAAAACCUUACCUACCUCGCACAUGUCUGGAAUCCUGAAGAGAUUUGGGAGCAAGCCUGCAAGAGAACCGAACACAGGUGCUGCAUGGCUGUCGUCAGCUCGUGUCGUGGAGACGUUGUUAAGUCCUGCAUAACGAGCGCAACCCCUUACAUACACAGGUUGCUACGAAAGGGCAUCAUAAUGAGGAGACUGCCGGUGACAAACGGAGGAAGGUGGGGAUGACGUCAAGUCCUCAUGGCCCUUUAUGGGUAGGGCUUCACACGUCAUACAAUGGUCGGGACAGAGGUCGCCAACCCGCGAGGGGGAGCCAAUCCAGAACCCGAUCGUAGUCCGGAUCGUGUCUGCAACUCGACUGCGUGAAGUCGGAAUCGCUAGUAAUCGCGGAUCAGCAUGUCGUGGCGUGAAUACGUUCCCGGCUCCCGUACACCGCCCGUCACACCAUGGGAGUGGGUUUUACCAGGCGGUUAGCCUAACCGUAAGGAGGGCGAUUACCACGGUAGGAUUCAUGACUGGGGUGAAGUCGUAACAAGGUAG
rnacentral:rRNA from 1 species